UUUUUAUUUUUGUGUAUUAUUAUUAUAAUCGUACUUAUCUGCGAUUAGUACACAACCGAUUUCUCCAAUUCCCAAGAAAUUUUGUUUUCUCUAAAUUCCUCUCUCCCCUCCAUUCCACCGAAAUCACCCCAUACCAAUGCCACGUGUGAUUUUCUUUCGUUAGAAAUAUCUUCAUUAUUUGAAACGGUUUUUACCUGAUUUUCAACUACCAACAUAGCUGGUGGGGCCAGAGAGGGGGUAGGUGCUCGUAAGUCUAGUCGUAAUGCUUUCGUGUUGUACGUGGCUGUCGCGUGCCCAUGCGUUGAUCAUGUUUUUUGCCCUCCCCCACCCAUCUAUCAUCGUUUGUUCACCUGGUGACUGCCAACGGCAAUGAUGGCGGGGUGGUUUCCACCGGAACCGCCUGCACUGUCACGUGGUUAUGUCUUGUGACUGAGAGUGUCGGAUGAUUAAUUCUCUGACACAAAGUUUAACGUGGUCGUGUGGUUCAUUUUUUUUUCAGGUGUUCCGAGAUAAUAAAUUUAAAAAAAAAUAUAUUUUUUUUUUAUUAUUUAUGGUUUACUCAUACCUACUGAUAAAUGUAAAAUGAUAACCUAUUACAUUUUAUCUGAGCAUUUUUCUAUCAAAAAGAUCAUUAUUUUAGGACUCAAGUGAGCGAUUGCAAUUGUAUUGAAAUCGCAUGUCUCAUCUUAAUUUCUGUUGGUAGAUUAUUGCUUAGGUAUAUAAAUUAGUGAAUUAGUUUAAUGGACAGUUUUUGGUGUGUUAUAUCCAUACAUUGAAUAUUAUGCUCUUGAUACAAUAGUAAUAGGUACUUUUUAUUAAUUUUUAAUAAGUACCUAGGUGUUAUUGUAUAAUAGUUAUUUAAAUAAUAGAAAUUAGAUUAGGUAGGUACUUAUGAUUGUUUUUUUAAACAUGAUAAAAAAAUAAUAAAUCUAUUUAAUAUCCAUUAAUAAAUUUAAUACCUACAUAUCAAUUAUUAAGGUAUUAAGUAUGUAUAUAGAUUUGUAUCUAGAUGACUGGAAAUAAUAAAAAUUAAUCUUACAUGGGUACCUAGUAUCUAUAUAUUAAAGUAAUCUGACAGUUUAAAUCAGUGGUUCAUAACCUUUUUCGAAUGACUGAACACUUAAAAUUUUAUAAGAUUUUCGAAGGACUCAUCCUUAAAAUAAAACAAUAGUUAUAUUUAUUUAGUUAAUAGUUAAUUUGAUACUUAUGCGUUAUCGCGACUACCACUUAUUAUGGGUUAUACCUAGCAUGCCGUGUCCCACUCUAAUCUUGCAUUUUGCAAGUGAAUUCUAUUUCUAAUUCUAUUUGGGAUAAUGAGUGCUUAGGGACCAGCGUUUCCACUCGCUCGCUGUGCUUACGAGUGACAUUCAAAACAAAAAUAUUCCUUGAUUUGUUAUGCAACACCGCCUAAGGUAGGUUACAAGUAACAACAUUAUCAAUAAAUACAUUGACAUUAGCUUUGGAUAGUUUUGUAUUAUUAUACAUGUAUUAAACAGACGUGCAUAAGUGCAUUGCACGCCAUGUGUUCGACAUUAAGGUAGUCACGAUAACGCAUAAGUACUUACCGUUAAUUUAGUCAGGACACUUAUACUAAGUCCAUGGAACACCGGUUAAGAACCACUGGUCUAUAUAUGAAUUAUUAUUAUAAUUUUUUUAGGAAGGCAGUGGUAGGUGCUUAUUAAUAGUAUUUUUAUUUUGAUAUACAAUUAAAGAUUUAUUUUUAUUGUUUAUUCCUAUGGCAUAGACAAUGUAACAAUACAUAUUAUAUAUAUAUAUAUAUAUAUUUAUUAUUUAUGAAUAGUAAUAAGCAGGUAGCAAAAUAGAAAUAGUAGUUAUAUGAUCAAUAGUAAGUUGAAAUCGAGGUUGAAAUGUGUUUACGCCUUACGGCAUACAUUCAGAUCUGAUAAAAUAUAAUAAGUAUACUUUGUCCAGUAAGAGUAUGCACAGUGGUUGAAUAUAAAUUAGUUCUGUGUGUUCCCACUUAACACCCUGCCAUUGAAGUCAUUUCAACUAUAGCGGGAUGUUAUGUGGUGAUAAGCAAAAUUGGCAUAUUCUUUCUGUACAGUAUAGGUAGUUAAUUAUUUAGUUUGAUUUAGUUCGAGGUAUUUUACAUAUACCUAUUUAUUUUAUUAAUAUUCAUGAUGAUAUUAACGAGACAAGCAUAUGUCUGAAUAAAUUUGCUGUGAACUUAAAUCUGAUAUAUUAAUAAUUAAAUAGUUAUGACUAAAACAUUUCAAAAUAAUAUUAUAUUCAAAUAUACAGGAAACUCAAUUUUACUCAUACACUAAAAAUUUGAACUUUGAUUUAAGUAGGUAUAUGGAUUAAUAUUAAUGAUGAUAUUAACGAGACAAGCAUAUGUCUGAACAAAUUUGCUGUGAACUCAUUUCUGAUAUAUUAAUAAUAAAAUAGGUACCUAUGACUAAAACAUUUCAAAAUUAUAUAUUUAAUAGCAUAAUAUAAUAUUUACAGUUAGGUCUAGCUAUAAUCUAUAUCCUUAUUUUAUUAUUUAGGAAACUAAAUUUUACUUAGGUAUUACACUAAGAAUUUGAACUUUGAUUUAAGUAGGUAUAUGGAUUAAUAUUAAUGAUGAUAUUAACGAGACAAGCAUAUGUCUGAACAAAUUUGCUGUUAACUCAUUUCUGAUAUAUUAAUAAUAAAAUAGGUAGGUAUGACUAAAACAUUUCUAAAUUAUAUAUUUAAUUAUAUAGAAAACUCAAUUUUACUUAUAGGUACACUGAGAAUUUGAACUUUUAAUUUAAGUAGGUACCUAAAUGGAUUAAAUUUAAUGAUGAUAUUAACGAGACAAGCAUAUGUCUGAAUAAAUUUGCUGUGAACUCAUAUCUGAUACAUUAAUAAUAAAAUAGGUAAGACUAAAAAAUUUCAAAAUUAUUUAGGAAACUCAAUUUUACUUAUCCACUAAGAAUUUGAAUUUUGAUUCAAGUAAAUGGAUUAAUUUUGAUGAUGAUUUUAAAGAGAGACAAGCAUAUAUCUGAAUGAAUUUGCUGCUAACUUAUAUCUGAUGUAUUAAUAAUAAAAUAGGUAAGACUAAAAAAUUUCAAAAUUAUUUAGGAAACUCAAUUUUACUUAUCCACUAAGAAUUUGAAUUUUGAUUCAAGUAAAUGGAUUAAUUUUGAUGAUGAUUUUAAAGAGAGACAAGCAUAUAUCUGAAUGAAUUUGCUGCGAACUUAUAUCUGAUGUAUUAAUAAUAAAAUAGGUGAGACUAAAAAAUUUCAAAAUUAUUUAGGAAACUCAAUUUUACUUAUCUACUAAGAAUUUGAAUUUUGAUUCAAGUAAAUGGAUUAAUUUUGAUGAUUUUAAAGAGAGACAAGCAUAUAUCUGAAUGAAUUUGCUGCGAACUUAUAUCUGAUGUAUUAAUAAUAAAAUAGCCAUGACUAAAACAUUUUAAAAUGGCAUUAUAUUUAAUAAUAAUAGGUAUUAAUUAUAGUUAGAUCUAUCUAUAUUUAUUUAAUUGUUUAGGAAAUCCAAUUUUAAGAUGAUUUUAAAGAGACAAGCAUAUGUCUGAAUAUAUUUGCUGUGAACUCAUAUGAUAUUUUGGAACAUUUACUUAAUAUAAUUAUUUAAAAAGUUUACUGAUCAGGUUCUAAUACCAAUUAAUGUCUUUUAAGUUCAGUUACUUAUGUGUUUACCAUCAUUUUGUAAGUUUGUUGGUCAUUGAUUAAUAUCAUAUUGAUUAUUAUGAAUAAAUAUGUUUUCAUGCAGUGUUCAAUUGGCUGUAUUUCUAUUUAUUAGAACUUAUUCAGUUUAUAAGUUUUCGGAGUAGAAACUGCAAAAAGACCUAUAGAAAUUAGUGUUGCUAUCAUUAAUGUAUCCAUUUACUUAAUAUAUAAACCUUCUAUACAGCUAUCUAAAUCCCCUAACUUGUCAAUUCUUGUCAUAAAUGUAUAGUAAUCUCAUUCUUUUGGUAGAGUUAAGCUAAGUCUUUUCUACUUUCCUCCUGCAAAAAGAAAAUUGUAUUUAUAUAAUAUAUUUUUACUUAUGUACAAUGUUGUUAUGGUUCUGAUUAAUUAUUUAAGGACUAAUUAUUCAAAUACUAAUUUAUGUUGUAACAUUUUUUUC